UCAAGUGCGUCGCAGCCUUGGCCGUCGCCCCGGUUUCCUGUGUUGCGUACCUACGCGAUGGCAUUCGUUUGUCCCAACGUCCCUCGUUCGUUUAGCGGUCCGCUUACCGGCGGGUCACGAGACGAAACUCGCAGCAUGGCCCGUUACCCGCGUCGCGCGUAUGCCGUCGCGGUGCACGGGGCAUCGCUCGAGCUCUCGGAUAMGGAAAGCWCCGAGGGCAUUGAGGUCCCGCGGCCUCUUAUCAUUGCCCGAUCAUGCAUUAGACACCAACGAUGCACGACCGUCGCUCCCGUCUCGGCCCGGCCGUACGGUGACUAAUCUUUCAGGAUGCUACCUGCUUGAUCC
rnacentral:misc_RNA from 1 species